AGCAGCCGCGGUAAUUCCAGCUCCAAUAGCGUAUAUUAAAGUUGUUGCAGUUAAAAAGCUCGUAGUUGAAUUUCGAGACCGGCUUACUGGUCGUGCUUUUGUGCGUACUGGUAUAAUCGGUUUCUCCUUUCUGACGAACUUUAAUGCCAUUAAUUUGGUGUUUUAGGGAAUCAGGACUGUUACUUUGAAAAAAUUAGAGUGUUUAAAGCAGGCUCACGCUUGAAUACAUUAGCAUGGAAUAACGGAACAGGACGUUUGAUUCUAUUUUGUUGGUUUCUAGGAUCGACGUAAUGAUUAAUAGGGAUAGUUGGGGGCAUUAGUAUUCAAUUGUCAGAGGUGAAAUUCUUGGAUUUAUUGAAGACUAACUACUGCGAAAGCAUUUGCCAAGGAUGUUUUCAUUAAUCAAGAACGAAAGUUAGGGGAUCGAAGACGAUCAGAUACCGUCGUAGUCUUAACCAUAAACUAUGCCGACUAGGGAUCGGAUGAUGUUAAUUUUUUAAUGACUCA
rnacentral:rRNA from 1 species